UCCCUGGUGGUCUAAGGGAUAAAGAAUCUGCCUUCCAAUGCAGGAGAUGCAGGUUCGAUCCCUGAUUGGGGAA
rnacentral:tRNA from 1 species